rnacentral:rRNA from 1 species
AACGCUAGCUACAGGCUUAACACAUGCAAGUCGAGGGGCAGCAUGGUCUUAGCUUGCUAAGGCCGAUGGCGACCGGCGCGCGGGUGAGUAACACGUAUCCAACCUGCCGUCUACUCUUGGACAGCCUUCUGAAAGGAAGAUUAAUACAAGAUGGCAUCAUGAGUCCGCAUGUUCACAUGAUUAAAGGUAUUCCGGUAGACGAUGGGGAUGCGUUCCAUUAGAUAGUAGGCGGGGUAACGGCCCACCUAGUCUUCGAUGGAUAGGGGUUCUGAGAGGAAGGUCCCCCACAUUGGAACUGAGACACGGUCCAAACUCCUACGGGAGGCAGCAGUGAGGAAUAUUGGUCAAUGGGCGAGAGCCUGAACCAGCCAAGUAGCGUGAAGGAUGACUGCCCUAUGGGUUGUAAACUUCUUUUAUAAAGGAAUAAAGUCGGGUAUGGAUACCCGUUUGCAUGUACUUUAUGAAUAAGGAUCGGCUAACUCCGUGCCAGCAGCCGCGGUAAUACGGAGGAUCCGAGCGUUAUCCGGAUUUAUUGGGUUUAAAGGGAGCGUAGAUGGAUGUUUAAGUCAGUUGUGAAAGUUUGCGGCUCAACCGUAAAAUUGCAGUUGAUACUGGAUAUCUUGAGUGCAGUUGAGGCAGGCGGAAUUCGUGGUGUAGCGGUGAAAUGCUUAGAUAUCACGAAGAACUCCGAUUG